UUGUUUAUUAUGUUGUUCAGACUUUUCAAAAUGAUUAUUAGAUCCCAUCGGCGGACACUCGUCAGCGAACCGACGGCAGUGCGGCCCACCGAGGCAACAGAGGUAUAUAGAUUAAGGGUUUGAGGUCGGCCGAAGCCGGGACUCGAUAAUGAUCCUUCCGCAGGUUCUUUGGUCGCAGUUAGUAAAUAAUUAAAAGAGAGAAAGAGUAUUGAUAACUUACCACCUACGGAAA
rnacentral:misc_RNA from 1 species